rnacentral:rRNA from 1 species
GAUGAACGCUGGCGGCGUGCUUAACACAUGCAAGUCGAACGGUGAAGGCGGAGCUUGCUCUGCUGGAUCAGUGGCGAACGGGUGAGUAACACGUGAGCAAUCUGCCCCUGACUCUGGGAUAAGCGCUGGAAACGGCGUCUAAUACUGGAUACGAGCUGCGAAGGCAUCUUCAGCAGCUGGAAAGAAUUUCGGUCAGGGAUGAGCGCGCGGCCUAUCAGCUUGUUGGUGAGGUAAUGGCUCACCAAGGCGUCGACGGGUAGCCGGCCUGAGAGGGUGACCGGCCACGCUGGGACUGGGACACGGCCCAGACUCCUACGGGAGGCAGCGGUGGGGAAUAUUGCACAAUGGGCGAAAGCCUGAUGCAGCAACGCCGCGUGAGGGACGACGGCCUUCGGGUUGUAAACCUCUUUUAGCAGGGAAGAAGCGAAAGUGACGGUACCUGCAGAAAAAGCGCCGGCUAACUACGUG